AGGAGUUUAGGUUAAAACAGACCAAGAGCCUUCAAAGCCCUAAGUAAGUGAACCCACUUAACUCCUG
rnacentral:tRNA from 1 species